rnacentral:rRNA from 1 species
GGGCCCGCACAAGCGGUGGAGCAUGUGGUUUAAUUCGAUGCAACGCGAAGAACCUUACCUACUCUUGACAUCCACAGAAUCUGGUAGAGAUACCUCAGUGCCUUCGGGAACUGUGAGACAGGUGCUGCAUGGCUGUCGUCAGCUCGUGUUGUGAGGUGUCGCGUUAAGUCGCUAAACGAGCGAAACCCUUGUCGUUAGUUGCCAGCACGUAAUGGUGGGGACUCUAGCGAGACUGCCGGUGUUAAACGGAGGAAGGUGGGGACGACGUCAAGUCAUCAUGGCCUUAUGUCGGGGCUGCACACGUCCUACAAUGGAGCAUACAGAGGCCGCGAACUCGCGAGAGUAAGCU